UACGAAGGGGGCUAGCGCUGUUCGGAAUUACUGGGCGUAAAGCGUAUGCAGGCGGACUUUUAAGUCGGGGGUGAAAUCCCGAGGCUCAACCUCGGAACUGCCUUCGAUACUGGAAGUCUUGAGUCCGGGAGAGGUGAGUGGAACUCCGAGUGUAGAGGUGAAAUUCGUAGAUAUUCGGAAGAACACCAGUGGCGAAGGCGGCUCACUGGCCCGGUACUGACGCUGAGGCACGAAAGCGUGGGGAGCAAACAGG
rnacentral:rRNA from 1 species